CCUACGGGUGGCAGCAGUGAGGAAUAUUGGUCAAUGGACGAGAGUCUGAACCAGCCAAGUAGCGUGAAGGAUGACUGCCCUAUGGGUUGUAAACUUCUUUUAUAUGGGAAUAAAAUGUUCCACGUGUGGGAUUUUGUAUGUACCAUAUGAAUAAGGAUCGGCUAACUCCGUGCCAGCAGCCGCGGUACUACGGAGGAUCCGAGCGUUAUCCGGAUUUAUUGGGUUUAAAGGGAGCGUAGGUGGAUUGUUAAGUCAGUUGUGAAAGUUUGCGGCGCAACCGUAAAAUUGCAGUUGAAACUGGCAGUCUUGAGUACAGUAGAGGUGGGCGGAAUUCGUGGUGUAGCGGUGAAAUGCUUAGAUAUCACGAAGAACUCCGAUUGCGAAGGCAGUUCACUGGACUGCAACUGACACUGAGGCUCGAAAGUGUGGGUAUCAAACAGGAUUAGAUACCCUUGUAGUC
rnacentral:rRNA from 1 species